CCUAUGCCUUAUAAAUGUAGCCCUACCCUCAACACAUUGCAGCUCUUCACUGCCCAGGGGUCCUGACCCCAUGCUAUUCUCUGAAUAAAAGAGCAUACUACCAGACCAUGAGAGUCCAAGGAAUCUUUCUUUUGACUCCUCGGCUCGCCAAGCCCACAUCAGGCCAGUUGGUAGCAGAAGAGCACAGUGACCUAGGAAGCAAUAUCUUGAAGAUAAGGGAGCCACAAGAGAGAAGGAGCCUGGAUCCCUGAAUCACCACUUGAACAAGAGCCACUUAUAAAUCACAGACAUCAGUUUUGGAUUUAUGUGCAAAGAAACACAGUGACUUGGAAGUCAUUUUUUAAAAUGGCAGAGCCACAAACCAAAGAGAGACUGGGUCUCUAAGUAUCACUUAAAGAAGAACCACUCGCCGAUGUGGAACACUCAUAUUGAACUUCACGUGAAUGAUGAAUAACCUUUGUAAGUUUGAGUUCUGAGGCUUAGUUUUUAUAGCUACUAGUGAUAAUUUGACUUGAGUAAUUGCAAAGUAACAUUAAGUGAAUAGUUAUAAUCAAAGUAGUGUGCUAUACUACUUUAUAAGAAUAAGAACUGUGAUCAGAGAAGGUGUUGUUUUUAACCAUUAAUUUUUAUGACUAUUGAUCUCUUCUUAUCUUUAUUACCUCAUCUCAAAAAUGAGUAUCUGUCCCAUUUGGAUGAUGUAACUCCUAAGAAAGAAAUGUAAAGCACUUAGCCUCAUGUUAUGUUCAUAAGGAAACUUUUCAUAAAAGUUUGUUAUUAUUAAAUUAUAACAAUAAAUUAAAUUAUAAAUAUUGUGAAAAAAUUAAAUAUUGGGUAUUUAUGCACAUGUAAAGGCACAUAAAAAGGAGCCAAUUUAUUUUGUUCACUAGAAAUAAUCACUUUAUGAGAAAAAUCAUAAGGUAGAAACUCAAGUAGAGCAUGAAAUAAGAGGCAUUUUCUUCCCCAUGUACCAUUGAUGUUCAAUUUCCUCUUCUCACUGGAAAAUCCCUUAGCCAAGAAUUUAAGACUAAGCAUUGUUUUAAGCACAUUGGAUUAAGUGAUUAAGCAUACUGCUUCUUAUCAUAUAUACCUCAGUUCAGUGUCUCACAAUAUAAGACAACCAGUCAAUUAACCUAUCCAAUACGUAUUCAUUGAGCAUCAACCAAGUUCUUAUUUUCUCCAGAAAUUUUUAAAAAGCAAUUCCUUCUCAUUAUCCUCACUUCUAUAUAGUAUAAUGGAUAUUCUUUCCAAAGGUUUUUUUUCCCCUGCAUAUCACUAUGUACGACGAGUAUACACACGAAGUACAUAAAACACACUCACCUUUGAUAUUUAGUGCAACUUCAUAAGUUCUAGUAAGUUGCAUUUUAAUUUAAAUAUGGACAUUACCAUUUUCUCACUUUAAAUAUUUCCAAGUGUACUUACAGUAUUCAAAUUAUAUAAAGGUAACAUAUUUUAUGCUCAUAUAUCAUGAAUAAAAAACUGUUUAAUGCAUAUACAGCUGAAAAGGCAUUUAGAAAUUUUACUUAGUUAAGUUAGCCCACUCAAACAGAACUACAUGAGUUUGGAGUUUCCAUUAAGCUCAAAUAAUUUGAAGAAAAAUAAAAAUGUCAAUCAAUAGGUUCAUUUGAGCUACGUGAUGCCAGAAAAGUGAUUGAGCUGAUUUUAUUCUUUGAAUUGACAGUAUGGAGUUUUUACUAUUGACUGAAAGUAGCAGAUGUUUUGGCAUAAUGUAGAGACAAUUAAAGCAUCCUGAACAGAUGAAACUCCCAUCUUAUUUUCAAAGACAUGUGAGAAGGAUUUGACAACUUCAUUUGGAAAGAAAUUAUAAUAUUUAAUGACUACCACUCUUUGGAAAGCUUUCUUAGAUCUAUUCUAAGUCUCCCACUAUUUACUUGAAAAUCUGAUUUUUUUUAUUCUGUUUCUAAUAAAAUUUGAGAGCAUGCAUUUUAGCUCUCAUGUAAAAUUCUUUUGCAUGCCAUUUCUCAUAUACCACUACAGCCUUUAGGUACUCAAUAUGAAUAUUAUGCUCAUAUAUUGAUUCUUUGUUCAUUUAAUAUAUAUUUAUCAUCUAUUCACAAGACAUUGUACUAGAUGCUUUAGAAAAUCCAUAAAUUCCUUCAACAUAUGUUUAAUAUCAUAGAAAAGCUAACCUGCGACCAUUUAUAUCUACAAUUAAUGAGCAAAAAUUCUCUUUGUUAAUAUUUAUCAUAUUUGUUAUUACUUGUUCAAUAUCCACUUUCUCUGCUGGGCUAUGGACUCCACACAUGUAAGGACUGAGUCUAGUAUGUUUGUGGCACAAAAUAGUUACAGAAUAAAUAUUUCUUGAAUGAACAAAUGGUUUAAUAAACAAACUUUGUAUAAACUGUAUUGAUAUCAUAUUAUAUUUAACAUUCUUAAUUAUCUUGAAUUAUGUUUUAUAUUUUGGAUAAAUGACAUUUAAGGGAGGUUUUCUACCUUUAUUUCAUAUGUUUAAGUCUCGGGAAGAAAUAAAAUACCAAGUUGAGGCUAUGACUAGGUAGUGAAUCUGUGGUGUUAGUUGAUCCUUGGUUUGUCACAUUACUAAAAAUGUAGUUAUAUCUUAAAUUGAGGAGCAGUUAAUUCAGAAUACUCAAAUGACAAUAGCUUGUUUUGGAAUAUUGGUAGUUUCACAGUGACUUGUCCUAUAUAGGUCAUUGCUUUGAAUCUUAUAGCUACUUUCUGAUCAUAUAUUUAAGUACAAAAUUCUUUGCAACAUACCAAAUAAAUCAAGAAAAUAGAAAUUUGAUUUGCCUUAGAUGAAUUCUUAACAAUAUAUUUCCUAAUUUUAGAAAUAAGCUAAGCAAUUUUAUAUAAAACUAAUACUGAUAUAUUUUUCCUUGGCAUUCUUA
ensembl:lncRNA